AUGAACAUGUGGAGGUGUGUUCAACACAUGCUGUGCGAGAAAGAUAAUGGCAUUUACCGCGGGUGGAUGGAUAGAUUCAGAGGGCUGUUCGACCCCAAAUUUGUUGAUGAAGUCUGCAGGGAUGAUGGAGAAACUGACUGGGGUUACAUUGAGGAUAUGAUGAAUUCAGAUAAGGCUGGGUACAGGAUUGACUGGCUGAAAAAGUUCUGGUUCCCAGUCGAUUUUAUGGACUGUUGGUCGAUGUACUUGCUGGAUAAGGAUGAAAAAACGGUGAUGGUCCUGGACCCAACGGAUACAGAUGAAAUGGAUGAGAUGAAAAUAAAACAUGAAGGCCGUGCAAAAAAAUUCCAGAGGAGGUUCUGUUCUCUUUUCAACAAUUUCUACGGCAACGGCUUGAUUGAAACUGAAGGAUGGACAUUCAAGUAUCCACUAGUGGCACGGCAUGCUCCGUGCANCAGGGAGGAAAGUGGAAUCUACAUCGCACACUACUACACUGAGUUCACCGGGAUGUACCUCCGUUCAUCACUGACCCAGUUGCAGAUAGAACGUCUACGGUCGAAGCUAGCAUACGAGAUUGUGACAAUGAAAAGGAACAAAGGGGACAUCCCAGAGUUCGUGUACGAUGUGAUCAUAGAUUGA
rnacentral:rRNA from 1 species